UGGGGAAUAUUGGACAAUGGGCGCAAGCCUGAUCCAGCAAUGCCGCGUGAGUGAUGAAGGCCUUAGGGUUGUAAAGCUCUUUCGCACGCGACGAUGAUGACGGUAGCGUGAGAAGAAGCCCCGGCUAACUUCGUGCCAGCAGCCGCGGUAAUACGAAGGGGGCUAGCGUUGUUCGGAAUUACUGGGCGUAAAGGGCGCGUAGGCGGCCUGUUUAGUCAGAAGUGAAAGCCCCGGGCUCAACCUGGGAAUAGCUUUUGAUACUGGCAGGCUUGAGUUCCGGAGAGGAUGGUGGAAUUCCCAGUGUAGAGGUGAAAUUCGUAGAUAUUGGGAAGAACACCGGUGGCGAAGGCGGCCAUCUGGACGGACACUGACGCUGAGGCGCGAAAGCGUGGGGAGCAACAGGAUUAGAUACCCUGGUAGUCCACGCCGUAAACGAUGAAUGCUAGACGUCGGGGUGCAUGCACUUCGGUGUCGCCGCUAACGCAUUAAGCAUUCCGCCUGGGGAGUACGGCCGCAAGGUUAAAACUU
rnacentral:rRNA from 1 species